rnacentral:misc_RNA from 1 species
CGGAUGCGCCAACGCAUGCCGUGCGAUGAGAAGUCAGCAUCGGCCAUAGUACUGAGAUUCCGCAUUCCAGCGGAAACAGGAAGGGC